UACAGAGGUGGCAAGCGUUGUCCGGAAUCAUUGGGCGUAAAGCGCGUGUAGGCGGUCCGGUAAGUCCGCUGUGAAAGUCGAGGGCUCAACCCUCGAAUGCCGGUGGAUACUGUCGGGCUUGAGUACGGGAGAGGCGAGUGGAAUUCCUGGUGUAGCGGUGAAAUGCGCAGAUAUCAGGAGGAACACCGAUUGCGAAGGCAGCUCGCUGGAACGUUACUGACGCUGAGACGCGAAAGCGUGGGGAGCAAACAGG
rnacentral:rRNA from 1 species